rnacentral:rRNA from 1 species
UCCAGACUCCUACGGGAGGCAGCAGUGGGGAAUAUUGGGCAAUGGGCGCAAGCCUGACCCAGCAACGCCGCGUGAAGGAAGAAGGCUUUCGGGUUGUAAACUUCUUUUAAGAGGGAAGAGCAGAAGACGGUACCUCUUGAAUAAGCCACGGCUAACUACGUGCCAGCAGCCGCGGUAAUACGUAGGAGGCAAGCGUUAUCCGGAAUGACUGGGCGUAAAGGGUGCGUAGGUGGUUUGGCAAGUUAGUAGCGUAACCCCGGGGCUCAACCUCGGAACUACUGCUAAAACUGUCGGACUUGAGUGCAGGAGGGGCAAGUGGAAUUCCUAGUGUAGCGGUGGAAUGCGUAGAUAUUAGGAGGAACACCAGUGGCGAAGGCGAAUUGCUGGACUGUAACUGACACUGAGGCACGAAAGCGUGGGGAGCAAACAGGAUUAGAUACCCUAGUA